rnacentral:rRNA from 1 species
CCUGGGGCUGGAGAAGGUCCCAAGGGUUCGGCUGUUCGCCGAUUAAAGUGGCACGUGAGCUGGGUUCAGAACGUCGCGAGACAGUUCGGUCCCUAUCUGUUGUGGGCGUUGGAAGCUUGAGGGCACCUGACUCUAGUACGAGAGGACCGAGUCGGACAUACCGCUAGUGCACCUGUUGUGGCGCCAGCUGCAUCGCAGGGUAGCUACGUAUGGAUGAGAUAAGCGCUGAAAGCAUCUAAGUGCGAAACUCAGCCCAAGAUGAGGCUUCCUUUAAGGGUCGUUGUAGACUACGACGUUGAUAGGCUGCAGGUGUAAAGCCAGUAAUGGCAAAGCCGAGCAGUACUAAUUACCCGUAAACUUUCUAUU